rnacentral:rRNA from 1 species
UGGGGAAUUUUGGACAAUGGGGGAAACCCUGAUCCAGCCAUCCCGCGUGUGCGAUGAAGGCCUUCGGGUUGUAAAGCACUUUUGGCAGGAAAGAAACGUCGCGGGUUAAUACCCCGCGAAACUGACGGUACCUGCAGAAUAAGCACCGGCUAACUACGUGCCAGCAGCCGCGGUAAUACGUAGGGUGCAAGCGUUAAUCGGAAUUACUGGGCGUAAAGCGUGCGCAGGCGGUUCGGAAAGAAAGAUGUGAAAUCCCAGAGCUUAACUUUGGAACUGCAUUUUUAACUACCGGGCUAGAGUGUGUCAGAGGGAGGUGGAAUUCCGCGUGUAGCAGUGAAAUGCGUAGAUAUGCGGAGGAACACCGAUGGCGAAGGCAGCCUCCUGGGAUAACACUGACGCUCAUGCACGAAAGCGUGGGGAGCAAACAGGAUUAGAUACCCUGGUAGUCCACGCCCUAAACGAUGUCAACUAGCUGUUGGGGCCUUGCGGCCUUGGUAGCGCAGCU